rnacentral:rRNA from 1 species
AGAACGAACGCUGGCGGCAGGCCUCAAACAUGCAAGUCUAGGGGGUGUAGCAAUACAUCACCGGCGGACGGGUGCGUAACACGUGGGAAUAUACCUUUUGGUUCGGAACAACGCAGGGAAACUUGCGCUAAUACCGAAUGUGCCCUUACGGGGAAAGAUUUAUCGCCAAAGGAUUAGCCCGCGUAGGAUUAGCUAGUUGGUGAGGUAAUGGCUCACCAAGGCUCCGAUCCUUAGCUGUUCUGAGAGGAAGAUCAGCCACACUGGGACUGAGACACGGCCCAGACUCCUACGGGAGGCAGCAGUUGGGAAUCUUGGACAAUGGGGGAAACCCUGAUCCAGCCAUGCCGCGUGAGUGAUGAAGGCCUUCGGGUUGUAAAGCUCUUUUGUGCGGGAAGAUAAUGACGGUACCGCAAGAAUAACGCCCCGGCUAACUUCGUGCCAGCAGCCGC